AUGGAUAAAGGCCCUAAGGUAACUCAUCCCGAGUAUGUUGAUUUUAAUAGUGAUGAAGAUGACUUGCUAGGUGAUGAUGAUUUACUUAUUGAAAACUCUAGUGAUGAAUACUAUGAUGAAACGUCAAUAAAUCAUGCUAAUCAAGAUAAAACGAAUGACAAUGAUAAGGAGAAGAUUGAGCUUCUAACUAAAGAACUAAACACUCUUAAGUUAGCUCAUGAAACUAUCUUCGAAGAUCAUCGAGAAUUUUUAAGGGCUCAUGAGAAGUUACGCUUUGAAAAGCUCAAUCUUGAGCAAGAGCAUGAGUUCUUAAAGGCUAUCAAUGAUGAUCUUCGCAAGAAAAGUUCUUCUUAUAUUGCCAAGCAUUUACUCUUAUCUACUUACAUGCCUCAAGUCAAGUCUAGUAACAAGAACAAGAAAGAUUCUUCCUCUAGUAGUAACAAUAACAAUGCUAAAUCCAAUAUUGUUGCUUCUAGUAGUUCUCUUGAUUCCACUAAUGAUUCUCUUAGCCAAGUUACACUUGAGCAAGAAAAUAGCUUAUUGAAGGGAAUUAUAGAGAAAGGUGUAUACAAGAGCCUCCCGGGAGUAAGCAAUUCGAGGAAAUUGUACGCAAGCAAGGAAGGCACCGGAAGAAUCAAGGUGUUGGUUUUGAAUGAAAGUUCAAUGCCAAUGGAGUUGAGUGGGAAGAAGAUCAAUACCCCAAGACGAAGUUUGUUCCUCAACAAGAGAAGUAUGAUCCUACUUCCUUCAAGGGAACACAAGCACAAGAUGAUCUUCCACCACAAGACCACAAGAACAAAGGCAAGGACAAGCUUCAAGAGGAGAUUGGUGCAUUUGAGGAAGCACCUAAGGCCUUGGUCAAGUGGGUUCCUAAGACUACGUCAAGUUCUACUUCAUCAAGCACAACUACCACACCAAGGAUUCCCAUCAAGAUGA
rnacentral:rRNA from 1 species